CUUACUUUCACGUUAGAGAUGAUUCCAGCUACAUUCAUACAUAUGUAUGUAUGUAAAGCAUUCGCUUCUUCAGCAAAAGGGUGCGGAAAUAUGAUAUCGUUACGCCACUUAAUGAAGGGAACGUUGAUUAGAGAAAAGCUUUGGAUCUAACCAGCGUUAAUCAAAAUUAUCAAGGCCCGUGGAGGAAAAGCCAGAAUAUGUACAUAUCUUU